rnacentral:rRNA from 1 species
UCAGAUUGAACGCUAGCGGGAUGCCUUACACAUGCAAGUCGAACGGCAGCACGGACUUCGGUCUGGUGGCGAGUGGCGAACGGGUGAGUAAUGUAUCGGAACGUGCCUAGUAGCGGGGGAUAACUACGCGAAAGCGUAGCUAAUACCGCAUACGCCCUACGGGGGAAAGCAGGGGAUCGUAAGACCUUGCACUAUUAGAGCGGCCGAUAUCGGAUUAGCUAGUUGGUGGGGUAAUGGCUCACCAAGGCGACGAUCCGUAGCUGGUUUGAGAGGACGACCAGCCACACUGGGACUGAGACACGGCCCAGACUCCUACGGGAGGCAGCAGUGGGGAAUUUUGGACAAUGGGGGAAACCCUGAUCCAGCCAUCCCGCGUGUGCGAUGAAGGCCUUCGGGUUGUAAAGCACUUUUGGCAGGAAAGAAACGCCGCGGGUUAAUACCCUGCGGAACUGACGGUACCUGCAGAAUAAGCACCGGCUAACUACGUGCCAGCAGCCGCGGUAAUACGUAGGGUGCAAGCGUUAAUCGGAAUUACUGGGCGUAAAGCGUGCGCAGGCGGUUCGGAAAGAAAGAUGUGAAAUCCCAGAGCUUAACUUUGGAACUGCAUUUUUAACUACCGAGCUAGAGUGUGUCAGAGGGAGGUGGAAUUCCGCGUGUAGCAGUGAAAUGCGUAGAUAUGCGGAGGAACACCGAUGGCGAAGGCAGCCUCCUGGGAUAACACUGACGCUC